ACUAUAAUUCAUAUUUUCGUAAAAAUUAUUCUGCAAAUCUUUAUUAAAUAAGGAAGCAUAAUAAUCGCAUCCACCUGCCUAUUGUGCAGGCAGAAAUUCGGCAUAAUAGCAUCAGUACGAGAUUCGCGUAAUUUACAUUCUCUACAAAGUUGCGGCAUGUACACGAUACACGCGUCGCACGUAACAAUAUGUAUGUAUACAUCUGUCCUACGCAUGAAUUUGCGAAUGUACAGACGUAAUCGGAAUCCAUGAAGCUGCGGAGCAAAGCACGGAGUAGAGAGGUCGUUGCACCUCGCGGUGCACAGUCAGGAGAGAAAUACAACUCGUACGCAAACGCCAGCUGUCACAGCUAGACAGCGAUUCCCCACACGCAGUUAACAAAAGGUGAAUCAGAACAUGGAUCGAUGCUGAAUAAUUAAUGGGCAGGAUCCAAUGGGUAUCGAGGCGGAACGUUGCUCUUCCAUUGUGGUAUAAUCGAAUUCGCUGAAUUUGGAACGAACACGACGAAUGAACAAUGGACUCGGUAUUCUCAGUAAAGACUGUUAGAUUUCAACAAAAUAUACUUAAAAUUGCAAAAAUCAGAAAUCUGUACACGACACGCUACAAUUUGCUUGUCGUUAGGACAAUUCAGGAGAACAAGGAAAACAUUCUAUAUCUGUAAACAGCUGUUUCAACAACGUUUCUAAUGUUUUGCGACACAUCGGGCACCGUUAGCGUCAGUGAAAGUGCAUUGCGAGAUCAUGCGAGACCAUGCGAGAUCUUUCGAGAGCAGGGAAUUUUUCAUGGGAGAUGCAACAGUUAAUAUACUCGACGUUGCUUUAAUACUUGUGCGGUUGCUGCUCCAAAUGGACGUUUAAAUUAAUAGUGUAUGAGUAACCCUUACGCCCACACAACAUACAUACACACGCAAGCGGAUAAACGUGUACCUUCUCUUCUAUCUAAUAGUACAUAAAAGGGCGAGCGUUGCGAUGAUGAAAAAAAAAAGUAAGAAAAGCACGAGGCAGUUGCAAAAUAAUAAUU
rnacentral:lncRNA from 1 species